GUGGGGAAUUUUGGACAAUGGGCGCAAGCCUGAUCCAGCAAUGCCGCGUGGGUGAAGAAGGCCUUCGGGUUGUAAAGCCCUUUUGUACGGAAAGAAAUCCUGGUGGUUAAUACCCGCCGGGGAUGACGGUACCGUAAGAAUAAGCACCGGCUAACUUCGUGCCAGCAGCCGCGGUAAUACGAAGGGUGCAAGCGUUAAUCGGAAUUACUGGGCGUAAAGCGUGCGUAGGUGGUUUCUUAAGUCUGUCGUGAAAGCCGUGGGCUCAACCUGGGAAUGGCGAUGGAGACUGGGAGGCUAGAGGGCGGUAGAGGAUGGCGGAAUUCCCGGUGUAGCGGUGAAAUGCGUAGAGAUCGGGAGGAACAUCUGUGGCGAAGGCGGCCAUCUGGACCAGCACUGACACUGAGGCACGAAAGCGUGGGGAGCAAACAGGAUUAGAAACCCGGGUAGUCC
rnacentral:rRNA from 1 species